rnacentral:rRNA from 1 species
GAUGAACGCUGGCGGCGUGCCUAAUACAUGCGAGUCGAGCGAACAGACGAGGAGCUUGCUCCUCUGACGUUAGCGGCGGACGGGUGAGUAACACGUGGAUAACCUACCUAUAAGACUGGGAUAACUUCGGGAAACCGGAGCUAAUACCGGAUAACAUGUUGAACCGCAUGGUUCAACAGUGAAAGACGGUCUUGCUGUCACUUAUAGAUGGAUCCGCGCCGCAUUAGCUAGUUGGUAAGGUAACGGCUUACCAAGGCAACGAUGCGUAGCCGACCUGAGAGGGUGAUCGGCCACACUGGAACUGAGACACGGUCCAGACUCCUACGGGAGGCAGCAGUAGGGAAUCUUCCGCAAUGGGCGAAAGCCUGACGGAGCAACGCCGCGUGAGUGAUGAAGGUCUUCGGAUCGUAAAACUCUGUUAUUAGGGAAGAACAAAUGUGUAAGUAACUAUGCACGUCUUGACGGUACCUAAUCAGAAAGCCACGGCUAACUACGUG